AUGUUCUCUGUAACUCUGCUGCUGCUGGUGGCUGCUGCAUCCUAUGUGAAGUGUGAACAGCUGACACAACCAGCCGCAUUAACUGUGCAGCCAGGUCAAAGCCUGACCAUCAGAUGUCAGGUCUCUUAUGACCUGAGCUACUGGACAGCUUUUAUCAGACAGGCUGCAGGGAAAGGACUGGAGUGGAUUGGCGUGAAUGAUAAGCAUGGAAAUUUACACUUCAAAGAGUCACUGAAGAACAAGUUCAGUAUCGAUGUAGACACCAACAGCAACACAGUGACUCUAAAUGGACAGAAUAUGCAGCCUGAAGACUCUGCUGUGUAUUACUGUGCCAGAGCUCCACAGUGUUGA